AGUGAACGCUGGCGGUAGGCCUAACACAUGCAAGUCGAACGGCAGCACAGGAAAGCUUGCUCUCUGGGUGGCGAGUGGCGGACGGGUGAGGAAUACAGCGGACUCUACUCUGUCGUGGGGGAUAACGCAGGGAAACUUACGCUAAUACCGCAUACGACCUACUGGUGAAAGCAGGGGAUCUUCGGACCUUGCGCGAUUGAAUGAGCCGAUGUCGGAUUAGCUAGUUGGCGGGGUAAAGGCCCACCAAGGCGACGAUCCGUAGCUGGCGUGAGAGGAUGAUCGGCAGAAUUGGAACUGAGACACGGUCCAGACUCCUACGGGAGUCAGCAGUGGUGAAUAUUGCACAAGGGGCGAAAGCCUGUUUCCGCAGUUCCGGGUGUGUGAAGAAGCCCUUCGGGUGGUAAAGCCCUUUUGUUGGGAAAGAAAUACAGAGGUAGAAGAGCCGGUUGGGAUGACGGUACCCAAAGAGUAAGCCGCGGCUAACAUCGUGCCAGCAGCCGCAGUAA
rnacentral:rRNA from 1 species